rnacentral:rRNA from 1 species
AUUGAACGCUGGCGGCAGGCCUAACACAUGCAAGUCGAGCGGGGUUUUCGGACCUAGCGGCGGACGGGUGAGUAAUGCGUAGGAAGCUACCCGAUAGAGGGGGAUACCAGUUGGAAACGACUGUUAAUACCGCAUAAUGUCUACGGACCAAAGUGUGGGACCUUCGGGCCACAUGCUAUCGGAUGCGCCUACGUGGGAUUAGCUAGUUGGUGAGGUAAUGGCUCACCAAGGCGACGAUCCCUAGCUGGUUUGAGAGGAUGAUCAGCCACACUGGAACGGAGACACGGUCCAGACUCCUACGGGAGGCAGCAGUGGGGAAUAUUGGGCAAUGGACGCAAGUCUGACCCAGCCAUGCCGCGUGCAGGAUGAAGGCGUUAUGCGUUGUAAACUGCUUUUAUACAGGAAGAAACGACUCUUGCGAGAGGCAUUGACGGUACUGUAUGAAUAAGCACCGGCUAACUCCGUGCCAGCCGCCGCGGUAACAC